rnacentral:lncRNA from 1 species
CCACCUUUAUCUCCGUGACGGUGAGAUAUCGUGAUGUCCUUACUGGGCUAGUGUAGCUCAUUCCUUAUUUAAUCAUUUCAGAUCAGGAAGACAUUGUUCCCGAGCCCGUUCCGCAAGAAGACGACGAAGGGGACGCCUAAAGACUCCAAAGUCAUAUUCAUAGUUUACUUUCGAAUUUCUCUUUUAGUUAGUUUGAUCUUUUAUAUUUUGAGCACGUUUUUGGUUUUAGUGUAAGGGAUGUUAAUCGAAUUUUGACUUCGCUUCCGCAUUUGAUAUUUUUAAUAUACAUUCCAUUUUAAAUUUCCG